UGCCAUUUUUAUCCCAUUUCUGAUCCUGGUUUUAUCCUGUUUCUGAUCCCAUUUCUGAUCCCAUUUUCCCAUUUCUGGUCCCAUGUUUUUCCCAUUUCUGAUCCUGUUUUUAUCCCAUUUCUGGUCCCAUUCCUGACCCCACAUUCCCAUUUCUGACCCCAUUCCUGAUCCCACAUUCCCAUUUCUGGUCCCAUUUUUAUCCUGUUUUUGAUCCCAUUUCUGAUACCCUAUUCCCGUUUCUGGUCCUGUUUUUAUCCCAUCUCUGACCCCACAUUCCCAUUUCUGACCCCAUUUCUGA
rnacentral:lncRNA from 1 species